ACAGCUUUUGCUACCAAACAUUGGCUUUACGUCCCUAAAUUUUGGAUGAAUACAACAGGUUCUCUCUUGACUCUUGAAUAAUUGGUACUUCCAAAGCAGUCGAUGUGUCACUCAAGUAGUGAUGUACUAUGGUUUCCACUUCCAGCUAAAAAGCAUGCAGCAAACUUCCAGGAAGCAGAGGCUAUGCUGGUGGGAGAACUCGUACACACCUAAUAGAGGAGAGAAUAAGGGAAGGAAUUUUGUGACGU